rnacentral:piRNA from 1 species
UUCUAGUUUGCCAACGCUGAGCACCUUGCU